rnacentral:lncRNA from 1 species
AUGCCGAGGGGCAGAUGUGGGGGCGGCGGAUUCCGUCCCCGUCAGAGGCUGGAAGGGCCACGCAGUGAAGGCGAAAUUCUCUUCUACGUGUUGCAACCAUUCAAACCAUUCUUAAACUUAGGGAAAAAAUAUCAAAAUUCCACCCGGCCCCCCAGAAAGGGCGCGGGCUCGCGCUGCAGGCGGCCUCCCGGGCCGCGCGCCCGCCCCUCCUCCGCAGCCGAGGCGGGGCAGCCCUGUCAACCCUCUUUUCCGGCCGCUCCCCGCGCCCGCCGCCCGGCCCUGUACCCUGUACCCCGGUCCCCCAGACGGCCGCGGUCUCGGGCCGGGACUUUGCGCACGCGGAACCAAAGCGGAGGGGCCGCCGGGGCGCGGCGCUCGCGAGGCCCUCGACGCAGUUCCUGUUCUGCUCUGGGAGGCCUGGCGGACCUCAUCUCACUGGUUCUGGAUGUCCUGCUGCUCUUUGACCCGAAGUUUAGUUCAGGAUGUUUCAAAGUUAAACGUGAAACCCGGGACAGCUGUGGACCGUUAGGAAUGGACUGGAAUUCCUGCAAAAUGAGAAUAAGGUCAUGGUUGCCACAUGGAUGGGCCAAGCUCCCCUCACCUAGAAGCCAUCACUGCUGGCUGCUGCUGCAGGCUCUGGAGCUGGAGAGAAACCUUAGCAUCUUUAAGGAGACUAUGAGCUGUGAUUCCCUUUGGGCAUCACUCCUGGAGAGGAAAGUUGGUGUUCUUCAAUUUUGCAUGUGUUGACUUUGGAGGGUUGCACCAUGAAGACCAUUAUGUGGUGAAGGAAGCACUUAAUUCUUUUCCUCUGGAAUGUUAAACAAUUCUGUUUCCACCUAAUCAAAUGUUUAUGAUUUUAUUUUUUUUACCUCAUUGACCUUUGAAUUUCAAAACUAAUCAUUAAACUGAGCAAUCCUACACAACAAUCCUGAGACAGAGGCUCCCAUGCUCCCUCUGGGUGACCCAAGCUUCCACCCCACCCGUGCCCCUCCUCCGCGCACUCACCUCCUAUCCGUAUCCUGGAUCCCACCUCUCAACCUUAGUUGGGGAGCUGGCUGUGUUAGCGUCUACAAACAUAGGUUCUUUACCCGCCACACAAGAGGGGCCAAAUUAAAACUGGAACGCCAGGCUAUGGCAAGGGAAGAGUUUUUAUUUUGAAUGAUUCCAGUCAGGAGACAAGAGUGAGCCCUCAAAUUUGUCUUGUUUUAUCUCGUUUCCCCGAAAGAGGGGAGGCAAGGGGUUUUAAAGGUUUUUGAGGAAUGGGGCUCUUGUGUGUGUGUGUGUGUGUGUGUGUGGUGGGGAGUCAGUGGCCUUGUUGGUCUGAGCUUUCCUACCAGCCUGUGUUUGGCCUUGGGAGGCUGCUUGCAGGAAGGAGGAGGAGAUGAUAAGGAAGACAGGUGGGCGACCUUGGCUGUCUGUCUCCAUGGCAGAUGGUGGAUUCUGGAGCCAGGGAGCCAGCAGGGAAAGAGUGCUUUGGUUUUAACCCCAUACACACUGGGUCUAAUGUAGGGGAGCUGAUAUCAAGGCUGGCAUCAGAUGGAGCAUGAUGUGCUCCCAGCAUUUUCUUGGACUGUAAAGGAGGUCUCCCCAGCAAACAGGCUGUGUCUGUCUGUAUUCGCCUUUGAGUCUGAGAGCAAAUCAUGUCC